rnacentral:lncRNA from 1 species
UAUGUAUGUAUGGUUAUACAUCUACAACAAAUAAGUAAUCGUCGUUUUGGUGGUAGAAUUUGGAAGAACAUAUCAUGGGGCGCUGGAUGAAGCCAGAGGUAAGCAACUAAGAAAAGCUACUAACCAUAAUCUGCACUCCUCAAAUGAUUUUUUGUUACAUGUAUAUACUGAUGAAACAAACGGGUGUAUCCACUUCUUGGGGCAAUGACAUUUGUAACCAGCAUGUGCAUCUUUCAACUUACAAGGAACGUAUUCUUAAACCCCGACGUCAGGUAUUCCAUUCAC